UUACGGCCAUAUCGCGUUGAAACAUCGGUUCCCAUCCGAACACCGAAGUUAAGCAACGUCGUGUUUGGUCAUUACCUAGAUAGGUGACCGCUUGAAAAUACCAGGUGCUGUAA